CCUACGGGAGGCAGCAGUAUGGAAUAUUGGACAAUGGAGGAAAGUCUGAUCCAGCCAUGCCGCGUGCAGUGAUGAAAGCCCUAUGGGUUGUAAACUGCUUUUAUACAGGAAGAAACACUUGUACGUGUACGAGCUUGACGGUACUGUAAGAAUAAGGACCGGCUAACUCCGUGCCAGCAGCCGCGGUAAUACGGAGGGUCCGAGCGUUAUCCGGAAUCAUUGGGUUUAAAGGGUCCGCAGGCGGUCUUUUAAGUCAGAGGUGAAAUCCUACAGCUCAACUGUAGAACUGCCUUUGAUACUGAAAGACUUGAGUUAUUAUGAAGUGGUUAGAAUGUGUGGUGUAGCGGUGAAAUGCAUAGAGAUCACACAGAAUACCGAUUGCGAAGGCAGAUCACUAAUAAUAUACUGACGCUCAUGGACGAAAGCGUGGCGUAGCGAACAGGAUUAGAUACCCUGGUAG
rnacentral:rRNA from 1 species